rnacentral:rRNA from 1 species
UACGGGAGGCAGCAGUAGGGAUCUUCCACAAUGGACGAAAGUCUGAUGGAGCAACGCCGCGUGAGUGAAGAAGGUUUUCGGAUCGUAAAACUCUGUUGUUGGAGAAGAAUGUAUCUGAUAGUAACUGAUCAGGUAGUGACGGUAUCCAACCAGAAAGCCACGGCUAACUACGUGCCAGCAGCCGCGGUAAUACGUAGGUGGCAAGCGUUGUCCGGAUUUAUUGGGCGUAAAGCGAGCGCAGGCGGUUUCUUAAGUCUGAUGUGAAAGCCUUCGGCUCAACCGAAGAAGUGCAUCGGAAACUGGGAAACUUGAGUGCAGAAGAGGACAGUGGAACUCCAUGUGUAGCGGUGAAAUGCGUAGAUAUAUGGAAGAACACCAGUGGCGAAGGCGGCUGUCUGGUCUGUAACUGACGCUGAGGCUCGAAAGCAUGGGUAGCAAACAGGAUUAGAUACCCUGGUAGUCCAUGCCGUAAACGAUGAGUGCUAGGUGUUGGAGGGUUUCCGCCCUUCAGUGCCGCAGCUAACGCAUUAAGCACUCCGCCUGGGGAGUACGACCGCAAGGUUGAAACUCAAAGGAAUUGACGGGGGCCCGCACAAGCGGUGGAGCAUGUGGUUUAAUUCGAAGCAACGCGAAGAACCUUACCAGGUCUUGACAUCCUUUGACCACUCUAGAGAUAGAGCUUUCCCUUCGGGGACAAAGUGACAGGUGGUGCAUGGUUGUCGUCAGCUCGUGUCGUGAGAUGUUGGGUUAAGUCCCGCAACGAGCGCAACCCUUAUUACUAGUUGCCAGCAUUUAGUUGGGCACUCUAGUGAGACUGCCGGUGACAAACCGGAGGAAGGUGGGGACGACGUCAAAUCAUCAUGCCCCUUAUGACCUGGGCUACACACGUGCUACAAUGGAUGGUACAACGAGUUGCGAGACCGCGAGGUUUAGCUAAUCUCUUAAAACCAUUCUCAGUUCGGAUUGUAGGCUGCAACUCGCCUACAUGAAGCCGGAAUCGCUAGUAAUCGCGGAUCAGCAUGCCGCGGUGAAUACGUUCCCGGGCCUUGUACACACCGCCCGUCACACCAUGAGAGUUUGUAACACCCAAAGCCGGUGAGGUAACCCUUCGGGAGCCAGCCGUCUAAG